rnacentral:misc_RNA from 1 species
GAAAUGCGAUAAGUAAUGUGAAUUGCAGAAUUCAGUGAAUCAUCGAAUCUUUGAACGCACAUUGCGCCUAUUAGUAUCCUAAUGGGCAUGCCUGUUCGAGCGUCAUUUCAACCCUCAAGCCCUAGUUGCUUGGUGUUGGGAGCUUAUCCUGCCGGAAGGCGGGACAACUCCUUAAAGUUAUUUGGCGGAGUCGCGGUGACCCCAAGCGCCGUAAUUCCUUUUUGUCGCUUUAGGUGUUAUUGCCGGCUUCUAGCCACUAAACCCCCCCCAAUUUUCUAAUGGUUGCCCUCGGAUCAGGUAGGACUACCCGCUGAACUUAA